GAAUGUGGCUUUGUGGGAAACUGGGCCUCACUUUGCAGCUUGGACAGCAGGAAGACAAUGUGGUGAGGAUUUGUGAAGAGCCUGUGACAAUUCUACAGGAAUCUCACAGCACACUGUCACAGGCACUGAUUAAGGGUGUUUAUCAUUUAUUUAUAUGCAUUACAUUUCUGUACCAUUUCAUCCUGGAUAUCCUGCAGUUUCUCUCUCUCUCUUUCUCUCUGUUUCACUCUCUCUCUCUCUACCCGCUAACUAAUUCUGGGAUGGUUCUACAAUGAUACUCCGUACAGUAUGUUCCCUGUUGCCAUUUUUAGAUAGUGGGAUAACUGUACCACCAGGGGUGUAAUUUGUCUCUCCUCUGCACCCCAGCCGUGCACGAAAUAAGACUGGCUCCUGCAAGCCCAUGAACUCUGUGUAUCAAAUCAAGGCUCCGAUGGGACUUUGCCAGCUCUACAAACUAUUUAUGGCUCACUGGAUCAAUCAGCACAGGACUGGCACACAAAUAUCCUUCAUCGGGCAUCUUUUUUAGAAAAAAGUGAAGAGGCACAUGGGUAUAUGCUGCCUGUCUGCUAGAAACUUUUGGUGACCCAAUCAGUUAUUCUAGUCGUUGUAGAGCUUUCCAUGUGGAUACUUUUAUGUUUGAUUGUGCACUUAUUACAGUGUUUGUGCAUGUGUAUCUUCUGUGUGAAUGAUGUAUGACUUUCAGCAUGGAUUUUGACAGGAAUCACUGGUUUAGCCUUGACCUGUGAACCUUUCUCACUCAUCAUAAUCACGUGGGUGAACAACCUUUAGCAAAAGGUUUUUAGACACAGCCAGACAAGAAUAGCAAAAAUAUGUAGUAGUUGAACACAAUAAUAGUGAUCUAGCUGGAGUGGGCCUUUGAUACCCCUAUUUUUAUUGUACCCUGUUAUGUGGCUGAUGUAUUUAUUGUUUGUCCCCCCUCCCCAUUUCGCACUAUCCUAGGUUUUGCACUUUUACUACUCUGAAAACCCUUGUUGUUGCUGUUUGCGCCAUAUUUAUGUGCACGGGUGGUAUGACAAUGAAAUCCACUUGACAUGACCUUACUUGACCAUAGGGGUCUGACUCAGGGUAGACGUUCAAUCAGCUGCCGUCCGCCUCAUCAUUAUUUAGCCUAUUAUGGUGUGCGGUGCUUUACGUGAUUCUGCUGACACCUAAGCAUGGUGCAGUUUCUGAAAACUUUCCUACCCUCGCCCUCGCCUCCCUCUCCUUUCUUUGCCUUUUUAUGCACCCUCCUGCUUGAAUGGGAUAUUGUUUGUCCCUCCCACCCUGACUCCACUGGACAACAUUAUGCAUCCAGAUCGGUCCACGCUAGAUUGGGAGGUCCAGCUCUGCUAGCAUUCGUCACACUAACAGUGGUGAAAACACAGAGUUUAGCAUAACGCCGAUGCUGCACGCCCUGCUGAUACAGGCCUCCCUUUAUGUGGCCUGUAAUCUGAGCUUUUAGGACCUGGCCUGUCCUUCUCUUUCCUGAAUGGGAUGCCGCUGGGCUUGCUCUCUUUCCGGAGUUUUCUCUUUGCUUACCUCGGCACUGUGAUUAUAGUGCGUCUGCAGCGGCACGAGCUCAUUUUUGCUGAGUGGACACUAGUCCUGGGUCAGUUUGCAAAAAAAUCUCUCUGUCUGGCCUGCGCAAGGCCAACAAAAAUAAGGAUUAAUUUCAGGUCUCUUUUCCCGAUCAUCAGUGCGAUUCCCGUUUCAGUGGAUAGACCUCCUGCCUCAGCUAAUGUGACAGUUUAAAGCAGAGCCCCCCAAUUCUGAGUCCUGGGGGGCCAGAAUCCGACAUAGUCUGCAGAUUUCCCUACUCAACACACACCUUAAUCAGCUAAUUACCAGGUUUAAUAGGUAUGUCUAAGCAGGGAAAUCUGCAAACUGUGUUGCAAACUGCCCCCCCCCCCAGGACCUGAAUUGGGGAACCCUGGCUUAAAGUAAUAAUAACAUAUAAUCUUAUUGCUUUGCAUUUUUAGCUGCUGUCAUGGGCAUUAAUUUUCAGCGGCUGCAUAUGUCUUAGAGAGUACAAUGUUCUUAUGUAUAGAGGUCGUCAAAUGGAUCAAACCACUCAUAUCUCACCACUGCUCUGGGAGUUUUAAGGCUCCUCAAGUACAAUUUUCUCGAAUAGCCAAAUGUGCACUACCCCUUUACACUGAAAUAAAGCAAUUUCUUUUGCUUUAAACGAGUAGGAAAUGCACUGCAAUUUAAAACUAUGCUUUCUGCGAAGGUAAGUGUAGCUGAGUGAUAACAUUCAUUCAGGUGGGUCUGUACAGUUGUAUUAUGUUAAAUCUAUUCAAAUUCAUACGCCCUUUAGUUGCAGAGCACAUAUACUGUAAGAGUAUGUAUAUGAUUUCAGUUAAAAUAUAAACAGAUUUUUUAUGCUUAUAUGUACAGUUUGUUGCCUUUUUAAAUGUCUGAGCAGCCUUUGUUAUAUUGAAAAAGGAGAGCGUUAUAACCGCUUACCCCAUACAGUGUCAUAGGGAGCCCAUAGCCUUUAUCAGGAAACAAAUGUUUAAACAGAGUACUUUUUUGAUGUUUUGAAUUCGCCAUUAUAGACCUUUCCAUUGUUUGCCCUGGUAAGGGCUGUGGGUCCCUCUGUUUAUUCAUCACAGUAGCCUUAGUCAUUUAUCGUUUACGCUUUAUUGCUCUUGUUGAGUUUUAUUUUAAAGCGGUACAUUUGGUCAGAGAGGACAAUCGCAGCCACACCUAAAUCCACAGGCAAAAGGAAAGCAGAGAAACUGAAGGAAGAUGAGCACGAUCAGCAGGAAGCCAUGCGCAGCUUCGCAGAUGAAGGACUGGGUUCAGAUUGAAACACUCACACAGCAUCUCGCUUUUUGAACCACACUAGGGUGAAGCACAGAGGCCGACUCACGCAGGAGCAGAUGCAGCACUUCUCCGGUCAACCUUGGCACGCCUCCUGUUGGUAACUGUGACAGCGGCCCGCUGGCCGACAGGAGUGCGUAUUGAGAAUGCGCACGACUUCUUUCAAUGUGUCCAGAUGCGUAUAAAAGGACACGGCAAACCAGAGUCGCGACUGGGCUGAAAGAACAGAGCCAGCGUGAAAGAAACUGUGAAAACGAGGUAUUUACAUUGCAUACAAAUUAUUCCGCAAAUCGGCAGUCUGCUAUAUCCAGGUAAUCUUACAGGUAAUUGAGUAGUUCAUUUUCCAGGCUUAAAAAAAGCCUUUUCGUUUCGGUUCAUUUUUAGUAGUGGACUUGUAUUUUUAUUGAUGAUGAAUUCUUUACAGGUUCACACAGUAAUUACUGAAUUGGCAAACUGAUUUAUCAUGAUUCAUGGGCUCUGGUUGGACCGUGGGUCUCUCUGCAUGUUGGCCCCACCGCUGAUGUGACGAGUCCCAAGGGUCCACCGGGGCUCGAGGAAGGCGAAUCCAACGGCAGCCAAAUCGCUAUUUUAUUUUUUUCAGGCGCUUCUCUGACUUUACAUUUAGAUUCAGCACUGUGAGCUGUGCUGUGAAAUGAAAUUCACGUCUCUGCCCUCCUCUGAUGCAAUUUUAAAGCUGUACUAUGAUGUGGAGGAGAGGAAAAACGCCACCUAGAUUUGACAGGGAUCAGGAUCUUCCCCUUUUUUCUCAGCGUCCGGAACAUUAUCAGGAAUGUGACGCUAUGAUAAUUGAAGAAGGCAAGAAAACAGCAUCCAUCAUCGUCUCUCUAACCUGUUGCUGAUAUGACAAGAGUGGCUAUGAAAUGAAAGCUAGGCGAUGGAGAAAAAUUGAUUUUGCGGCCAGGUCUCAUUUGCUUAAUUGCUUCAGUUUCCCUUGAUUAGUGGUUUGGGUGGUCAAAGCAAUGGGUCUGGUCCAACUGAGAAGACUUCUGCUGGCAUCUUCCCAGCCGAGCGAUACAUUUUUGGAGGUCACUGUAUGUUUUUUUUUAGCUGUUGUGGAGGUGGUGCGCAAUGUCAGCGGGACGGUUCUGUAUGUGAGACAGCGGUAUGUAAGAUGCUGUAAUGAUGCUGUAUAUAUUUUGCUCAUCUACUGAGCAUAAGGCAUGAGAAGUGAAAAGUGCAAGCUUCUGCCUGGUCUACACAGCCGUCCUAGAAAAUUCACAGUGCAUAGAACACCUCAGUGGUGCCAUAGAGCUUGACAGGAAUGUGCAGUUUCUUUUCUAGAACCUUCUCCUUUGAAUAUGACUCUUGAAUUGAAUAUACUCUUGAGUAAGGUAUAACAGACCUUAUCUAAAAAAUGAAACGCUAAUAAAGAUAUAGCUCACUAAGUUAUUCUUGCAAUAGAACAGAACAAUAAAAAGGUGAUCGCUACCGUCUUCAAAUUAAGCCUAUGAAAAUCUAUACAAAAUUGACACAUUGUUCUCACUUCUGUGUUUACAGCAGCAGAAUCACACUCCUCCAGCAGAGGAGAUGGUUAUAGGGAAUGUGGCUGGUGUUUAUGAGAUGGCAGGACAGCGGUUUGUUUCACUCUCACUGGGAAUUGGAUGUACUUUUUGCAGUUUGUGGUUUGUUGUUAAUUUUGAAUUAGAAAUUCAGUUAAAUAUUAUGUUAUAUUUUAUUAAAAGACCUGAAUGAACUGAAAUUAAAUAAAAGACUGUAAGAAA